GGGGAUGUUUUGGUUUUGACAGCAUCUGUGUUGGAUGGUAAGCACGCCGGGCGUCGGAAGUUUGCCCGUAAAUCUCAGCUUUCAAACUAUAGUAGGCAACUACUCUUAUUCUUACGCUUGCUAGUUUCCCAAGGAAACUGCAUUAAUCCGCGGGGCCAAGGCUGCUUCGCCGACGUAUGUCCCACCUCGCUUUAGGCCGGUUCAGUGAGGAUUCCGGGAUAUCAUCCAAAACCGGAUGCACGGAGGGACUCCCUUACACCUCCGCCAAGACUUAGGGGAUAAGGUUCAGAUGGCCUGCCUUCCGGCAUUCUGCUCCCGACAAUCAAAGAAAGGAUAAGCGUGUAGAAAGCCUUUCGGCAAGUUGUUUGGACGGCGGUUCGAGUCCGCCCAUCUCCAC
rnacentral:tmRNA from 1 species